ACUCCUACGGGAGGCAGCAGUGAGGAAUAUUGGUCAAUGGGCGAAAGCCUGAUCAGCCAUGCCGCGUGCAGGAAGACUGCCCUAUGGGUUGUAAACUGCUUUUAUACAGGAAGAAACACUCGGACGUGUCCGAGCUUGACGGUACUGUAUGAAUAAGCACCGGCUAACUCCGUGCCAGCAGCCGCGGUAAUACGGAGGGUGCAAGCGU
rnacentral:rRNA from 1 species